UACAGAGGGUGCAAGCGUUGUUCGGAAUUAUUGGGCGUAAAGCGCGUGUAGGCGGCUUAGCAAGUCGGGCGUGAAAGCCCUCGGCUCAACCGAGGAAGUGCACCCGAAACUGCUGAGCUUGAGUGCCGGAGAGGAUGGCGGAAUUCCCCAAGUAGAGGUGAAAUUCGUAGAUAUCUGAAGGAACAUCAGUGGCGAAAGCGACUUCCUGGACCAAUACUGACGCUCAUGUGCGAAAGCGUGGGGAGCAAACAGG
rnacentral:rRNA from 1 species